ACCGGACGAGACACUUCAUAGUACAACGAAUCUGGACAUGAAGAUUCGUUGUACUAUAAAGUGUCUCGUCUGGU
rnacentral:pre_miRNA from 1 species